UACAGAGGGUGCAAGCGUUAAUCGGAAUUACUGGGCGUAAAGCGUGCGUAGACGGUAGCGUAAGUCGGGUGUGAAAGCCCCGGGCUCAACCUGGGAAUUGCAUUCGAGACUGCUCUGCUAGGGUGCGGAAGAGGGAAGCGGAAUUUCCGGUGUAGCGGUGAAAUGCGUAGAUAUCAGGAGGAACACCGGUGGUGUAGACGGCUUUCUGGACCGUAACUGACGCUGAGACACGAAAGCGUGGGUAGCAAACAGG
rnacentral:rRNA from 1 species